rnacentral:rRNA from 1 species
CGGUAAGACAGAGGGGGCUAGCGUUGUUCGGAAUUAUUGGGCGUAAAGAGCGCGUAGGCGGUUUAAUAAGUUAGAAGUGAAAUCCCGAAGCUUAACUUCGGAACUGCUUCUAAAACUAUUAAGCUAGAGUAUGGUAGAGGGUGAUGGAAUUCCUAGUGUAGAGGUAAAAUUCUUAGAUAUUAGGAGGAACACCAGUGGCGAAAGCUGUCACCUGGGCCAUUACUGACGCUGAGGCGCGAAAGCAUGGGGAGCAAACAGGAUUAGAUACCCUGGUAGUCCAUGCUGUAAACGAUGAGUGCUAA